GGGGGGAGGUCGGAUCCUGGGCUGUGUCCCCGGCGCCCUGUGCUCCCGGGCUUGCGCUGUUGGCUACCCGCUCCCAGCCACGCAGCCCCCU
rnacentral:pre_miRNA from 1 species